GGACCUUUAGCUCAGUUGGUUAGAUCCAAUCGCUUAUAACGGUUAGGUCGCUGGUUCGAGUCCAGCAAGGUCCA
rnacentral:tRNA from 1 species